CACAGCCCGUCCCUCCUUCCUCUUCCUCAGAGCCCAGGCCAGGCCAUGUUCAGUCCACCUGAGAGGCCUCUGGAGGAGACGGGGUGCCUCUGGCGGCCCUUGCCUGAAAGCCCGCGGAGCUGUUCAUAAAUAAUAUGAAAACACCCCCGGCCCCUGCAGGUCCCACCUCUGGCUCUCAGCCGGCCCACAGUCUCCACUCCGGGAUCGCGGGGGCACCCCCUGUUCUCUCGCCCUUGGGAUCCCGUGGGAUUGUGUGGGAUCUCGUGGGAUCAUUUAGGACACCCCCCGUUCCCCCGUGGGAUCGCGUUGGGCACGGGGUUCCCUGACGCCUGGGAUCGCAUAGGACGGCCCCGGCUCUCUUCCCAUGUAAGCUGACUAUCGCUAAGUCCCCAGCGGCCGGCACACCCCCUGACGAGGAGUCACUGGGAGGGUGUUUUCAGAUGAGGCCAACUUUGGGUAAAGCAGAUGACCUCUGCACUGUGGGGCCACAGCCAAGCAGCGGAAGACGCCAGGGAGCAGUGAGGUCCGCGGAAGAAGAAGGAAUCCUCCGGAAGGUCUUACCCCUCCCCGGGUCACAGCCUCCUGGCCCACCCUGUACACCUCAGACUUGCCGGAAUCCACAAUUUUAGGAGCCAAUUCCUUAAAAUAGAUGUCUCUCUCUCUCUGAACAUGCAACUAAUGUCCAUUCAGCAAACUGCUGUCCAUCCUUUGUCUGUGAUUGCCUCCCGGGACUUGUAAGAUUGCCCCCCACACAGCCGGUGACCAGAACAUGUUACAGUCCAUCCCCCACACAUUUAAGCACAGAGGACUUGAGUUCAAAAUCCUUUCCAGAAACUGGAAGCAAGAAUAAAAACCACUAUGACAAUACAAAAACCAUUGUAAAUUCUAGGUAUUUUCCCUUCAAUAUUUUAAGAAACAUGAUUUCCUCCGGCAUGUCUUUAAGUGAACAUGAUUUGACAGUCUUCACUUUACUAAUCACAGACAUUUUAGAGCUGCGGACCUGUUUGUGGAGGCAGCGCUGUUGGCCGGGGUCACGGUGCUCGCUCGUGAAACAGGAGCUCUGCACUGGGUACAGAAGACACUUUGGUGUACAGGAACAACACAGUGCUGUCUCCAGGAGGCUGACGGCGCCCCCGGAGGCAUUUUGGCCUCUCCGUGUGUCAUGGCAG